CCUACGGGUGGCUGCAGUGAGGAAUAUUGCGCAAUGGACGAAAGUCUGACGCAGCAACGCCGCGUGCGGGAUGAAGGCCCUUUGGGUCGUAAACCGCUGUAGUGGGGGAAAAGUGGUCGCUUUUGGCGACAGAGAUGGUACCCCAAAAGUAAGCCUCGGCUAACUACGUGCCAGCAGCCGCGGUAAUACGUAGGAGGCGAGCGUUGUCCGGAUUUACUGGGUAUAAAGGGUCCGCAGGCGGGUUGACAAGUCGGUGGUGAAAUCCUUCAGCUUAACUGAAGAGCUGCCGUCGAUACUGUUAAUCUUGAAUACAGGAGAGGGUAACGGAAUUCCAGGUGUAGCGGUGAAAUGCUUAGAUAUCUGGAAGAACACCGGUAGCGAAGGCUGUUGCCUGGCCUGGUAUUGACGCUCAGGGACGAAAGCGUGGGGAUCAAACAGGAUUAGAUACCCCGGUAGUC
rnacentral:rRNA from 1 species